AGGGACCUGGGCAACCGGGAGUGCGUCCCUAACAACGCGCCAGAAGAGCUAGUGUUGCCCUCGGUGUAUUGCUGGUCUCUCUCCCACUACAACUUGGGCUACAGAAGAAACCUAUUGUGGUUCCUCGGGUUCUCCAGAGUCUACAUGGCGGGCGCUCACAAGGAGGAACGGAUAAAGAGAAAAGUCUGAAUGAUUAAUCUGCCUCCCAAGCCAAGUUCCCAAAUUGGAUGCAAAUAUUGAGCUAAGAGCCCGCUCCUGCGGCCCAUCCACCUUGCCCUGCUUGUGAAAAUUCCUUCCACAUGCUGCUCUGAUGAGACUGAACGUGUAAAGCUGGGCUUCCAGAAAGAAAAACGCUAAGGGUGUUAUGCCUGCGACCACUGGGGAAGCUGAGAGGAAGACUGCAUGCGUUGGAAGCUAGCCUGGGCUACAUACCAAAAACCCUGUCUC
rnacentral:lncRNA from 1 species